CGAGGGGAGCUAGCGUUGUUCGGAAUUACUGGGCGUAAAGGGCGUGUAGGCGGUACCAUAAGUCAGAUGUGAAAGCCCUAGGCUUAACCUAGGAGGUGCAUUUGAUACUGUGGAACUAGAGAUCGAGAGAGGUAAGUGGAAUUACGAGUGUAGAGGUGAAAUUCGUAGAUAUUCGUAAGAACACCAGUGGCGAAGGCGACUUACUGGCUCGAUACUGACGCUAGGGCGCGAAAGCGUGGGGAGCAAACAGGAUUAGAUACCCUGGUAGUCCACGCUGUAAACGAUGAGUGCUAGAUGUUGGUGAAGGAAUUCAUCAGUGUCGCAGCUAACGCAUUAAGCACUCCGCCUGGGGAGUACGGUCGCAAGAUUA
rnacentral:rRNA from 1 species